rnacentral:rRNA from 1 species
AUGUGACCUCAAAUCAGGUAGGACUACCCGCUGAACUUAAGCAUAUCAAUAAGCGGAGGAAAAGAAACUAACAAGGAUUCCCCUAGUAACUGCGAGUGAAGCGGGAAAAGCUCAAAUUUAAAAUCUGGCAGUCUUUUGGCUGUCCGAGUUGUAAUCUAGAGAAGUGCUAUCCGCGCUGG